rnacentral:rRNA from 1 species
AUGGCGACGACGACGACGCCGUCGCUGCCGUGCGCCGUCUUCGACCACGGCACCAUUCUGCAGCGGACACCGGCGACGGUGAGGAGCACCAAGCGCGCGCGGAGCCAUGGCGCGCCGUCGACGACGCUACCAGACGACGCCCUUAUGGAGGUUGCAUGCAGCUGCAAUAGUGGAGUAGUUGGACACGUCCUAAACAAACCACAAGAGAGAAGGUUGAGCUGUGAGAGACAGCCAAGAAGAAGAAGAAGGCGCUGCGAGGAGGCGGCGCCAACAGCCCUCCUGGAGAUCUUCGCCCGGCUGCCGGCCAAGUCGGUCGGCCGCCUGCGCUGCGCGUCGCGCUCGUGGGCCGCCACGCUCACGUCGGCCCCCUUCGUGGACCUCCACCUCCGCGAGGCCAACCGGCGUCGGCAGCCGACCCCCAAGCUCUUCUUCACCACGGCACACCCGGACAACAUAUGGCAACACGACGAGGUCCUCACCAAGCCCUGCCAUGGCCUCGUCCUGAUCCGCGGCCUGCCCUACCACCGCCACUUCGUCUGCAACCCGAGCACCGGCGCGCUCCUGCCCCUCCCCGACAGCCGCAUGUCCCGGCGGCUACAGCCCGGCCACCAAGGAGCACAAGGUGGUGCGGCUCUUCUCCUCCUUCCGCUCCACCCCCUGCUGCGAGGUCUUCUCGCUCGACGUGUACGACGAAAACAUGGCGGCAGCAUCGUCACCUUCGACGUCGGCGACGAGACCUUCGGUUCGCUGAGCACGCCUCCGUCGGUGGAAGACGACGACAGUCCGCCCGAGCUGGCGGUGCUGGGCGGACGCCUGUGCCUUUGCGUCUUCCAUGAACGUCGACCUCCCACUCGCAGCGACGCCGAUCCUUACUGCAUCUGGCGGCUGGCCUGCCGAGAGUCCGAGCAGUGGGAGAAGCUCUACCACGUGCUGCACCCACAGACCCUCAGGCCCGAGCUCGACCUGCUGCGGGUACACUGGGUCUAUCCCCUCGAAACCUAUCUCGCGGGCAACGGGCAGAAGAAGAUCAUGUUCGCCACGGAGGAGGGCGUGCUGGCGUUCGACCUCGACGGCAGCGGCGUCCCGGUCCCGGAGGUGCUGGUCUCGCCGACGGAGCUCGUCUCCGCCCGCGACGACGACGAAGAAGCCACGAUCACCCGCGGCACCGUGGGGUUGCUGGAGGAGAGCCUCGUGCCCGUGGGCCGGACGAGCGAGGAGGUGAUCUUCUCGUCACCGUGGAGGAAGGCGUGGUCGGACGUCCUCAAGUGGAUGCCGGCGCAGUCGGUCGCCGCCCUGACGUGCGUGUGCAGAGAGUGGCGCGCGGUGGCCGAGACCGACCGGUUCGUCCGGACGCACGCGCUCCACGCGAACCUCAAGUGGAGCCUGCGGGUCAUGGUCGUCCAGGCCCAGCCCUACACCCACGUGCUCGACUUCUACCCGCUGGAGCUCUGCGAGAGUUUGCAGGUGCGGUACGACGUCGCCGACAUGGCGCCGCCGUUCCUGUUCGACCACCACGUGUGGAGGACGGUGUGCUCCACGCCCUGCCACGGCCUCGUCCUCGUCAGCUACACGCAGCAGGCCGGCUCAGGCUCAGGCGUCGUCAAUUUCAUUUGCAAUCCUAGCAUGGAGUACAGCAGGCUUAUAAGAACGGAUACGCUGGACGACGACGACGACGACGACUCUCCCCGUCAUUCUGCAGCUGGCACGAUGGGGCUGGGGUACGAUUCGCGGACAAACAAGCACGUGCUGGUACGCCUCCUCGUCGUCUGUCGUGGCAGGAGUCGUCGACAUCACCAGCCGGCGGUGGUCAAGUGCCACGUCCAGUUCGUAGGCGCCACGACGUGGAUCCCGAUCAGCCCUCCGUCAAGGCCGCCGGCGGUCGACAUGCAGCCCGCCUACGCCGACGACAAGCUCUACUGGAUGGUAGAGGACGACGACGGUUCAAGCUGCGAGCUGCUGGCGCUUGACGUCAGCACGCGGGAGUUCGAGGUUUUGCCAGGGCCCCCGUGCGGCCGUGGUCGGGUCACGUCCAUCGUCGAGCUCCAAGGUAGCGUGUGCGUCCUGUGCUCGGACACGGGCGCCAACGCCAUCGACGUCUGGAAGCGGCUGGAAGGCGGUUCUUGGUCGGCAUGGCCGCGCCGUAUCGAGCUCGGGGAGUUCCGGCGGAUGUACCCAUCGGAGGAGACUAGGCUGUUGGCUGUUGACCCCAAGGACGGGAGGGUGCUUCUCAGUACGGGGAGGGCGUUGGGAUACUACGACCCCGAGGCACGGGUGGUGCAGACCGUCUACUGUGUUGGAGAACACCUGCAGGACAUGAGGUGCCCACUGUUUGGUCAUGCUCCUUCACAUUCUCGUGUGAACCAAUGGUUCGAUCCAUUUUGGCAGCAACAGAUAACUUUGUUGCUAGCUGCAGAUAAUGAGGGUCCGAGUACAGGAUUUCCCACGCAGAUAACAUGCUGCCAUCUUUCUCCACACCCCCUGCAUAUCAGACCACAUAGCGCGGCCAUGGGCAGCCCGCACUGUCCUGGCCAUGGGCAGCCCGGCCCGGACGGCCCGACCCGACCUGGCCUGAAGAAGCCCAACCCGGCCCGACUCGACCUUGCACACGGGUCGGGCCUGGGCCUAGAAUUCGAGCCCGACGGCCGGGCCUGGGCCUGUCAUUUUUGCCGUUUAAGGAAGAGGCCCGGCCUGUGGCCCGAGGCCUGGCGGGCUUCUAGUGUGAUGGGCCGGGCUUGGGCCCAAUAUUUAGACCCGACGGCCGGGCUGGGCCGGGCUCGGGACUGA